UACGUAGGGCGCAAGCGUCGUCCGGAAUUAUUGGGCGUAAAGAGCUCGUAGGUGGCUUGUCACGUCGGGUGUGAAAGCUUGGGGCUUAACUCCAGGUCUGCAUUCGAUACGGGCUGGCUAGAGGUAGGUAGGGGAGAACGGAAUUCCUGGUGUAGCGGUGAAAUGCGCAGAUAUCAGGAGGAACACCGGUGGCGAAGGCGGUUCUCUGGGCCUUACCUGACGCUGAGGAGCGAAAGCGUGGGGAGCGAACAGG
rnacentral:rRNA from 1 species